rnacentral:rRNA from 1 species
ACGCUGGCGGUAUGCCUAACACAUGCAAGNUCGAACGCGAACGGAAUCUUCGGAUUCCAAGUAGAGUGGCGCACGGGUGAGUAACACGUGGAUAAUCUGCCCUAAGGUCUGGGAUAACACUUCGAAAGGGGUGCUAAUACCGGAUGAGCUCACGCCUUCUUCGGAAGAAGUGAGAAAAGAUUUAUUGCCUUAGGAUGAGUCCGCGGUCCAUUAGCUAGUUGGUGGGGUAAUGGCCUACCAAGGCUGCGAUGGAUAGCUGGUCUGAGAGGAUGAUCAGCCACACUGGAACUGAGACACGGUCCAGACUCCUACGGGAGGCAGCAGUGGGGAAUUUUGCGCAAUGGGGGAAACCCUGACGCAGCAAUACCGCGUGAAGGAUGAAGGCCCUUGGGUCGUAAACCUCUGUUAAGAGGGACGAUGUCUGCCUUCGGGCGGAUGACGGUACCUCUAGAGAAAGCCCCGGCUAACUACGUGCCAGCAGCCGCGGUAAUACGAAGGGC